AUUGAACGCUGGCGGCAGGCUUAACACAUGCAAGUCGAGCGGGGGAAGGUAGCUUGCUACCGGACCUAGCGGCGGACGGGUGAGUAAUGCUUAGGAAUCUGCCUAUUAGUGGGGGACAACAUCUCGAAAGGGAUGCUAAUACUGCAUACGUCCUACGGGAGAAAGCAGGGGAUCUUCGGACCUUGCGCUAAUAGAUGAGCCUAAGUCGGAUUAGCUAGUUGGUGGGGUAAAGGCCUACCAAGGCGACGAUCUGUAGCGGGUCUGAGAGGAUGAUGCGCCAAACGGGGAGUGAGACACGGCCAAGACUCCUACGGGAGGCAGCAGUGGGGAAUAUUGGACAAUGGGGGGAACCCUGAUCCAGCCAUGCCGCGUGUGUGAAGAAGGCCUUAUGGUUGUAAAGCACUUUAAGCGAGGAGGAGGCUACUUUAGUUAAUACCUAGAGAUAGUGGACGUUACUCGCAGAAUAAGCACCGGCUAACUCUGUGCCAGCAGCCGCCGUAA
rnacentral:rRNA from 1 species